GGACUGCCGGUGACAAACCGGAGGAAGGUGGGGAUGACGUCAAGUCCUCAUGGCCCUUAUGGGUAGGGCUUCACACGUCAUACAAUGGUCGGUACAGAGGGUUGCCAAGCCGCGAGGUGGAGCCAAUCCCUUAAAGCCGAUCGUAGUCCGGAUCGUAGUCUGCAACUCGACUACGUGAAGUCGGAAUCGCUAGUAAUCGCAGAUCAGCAUGCUGCGGUGAAUACGUUCCCGGGUCUU
rnacentral:rRNA from 1 species